rnacentral:RNase_P_RNA from 1 species
AACUCAAUCCGGGCAAUUGCCCCGAUAAGAUCGGGGAGGAAAGUCCGAACUUCAUAGAACAAGGUGCCGGGUAACUCCCGGGAGCUAAUGGAGUAAUCUAUUAUCGACUGAAAGUGCCACAGAAAAUAAACUUCUCCGAUUUAUUGGAGUAAAGGUGAAAAGGCGAGGUAAGAGCUCACCGUCUCAAUAGUAAUAUUGGGUGCAAGGCAAACCACACCUGAAGCAAGGUCAAGUAUGAAAAUCUUCCCGCUUUAUUGCGGGGCAAGCUGUUCGCUUUGAAUCAAUGCUUAAUUGCAGGUUGGAUUUUCGGGUAGACCGCUUAAGUCUGUUGGUAACAACAGAACAAGAUAAAUAAUUGCCGUCCCGAUUUAUCGGGAUUACAGAAUUCGGCUUACAGGAUUGAGAUAUUA